rnacentral:lncRNA from 1 species
UUCUGUGUCUUUUUUGGUUUUGGCCUUAUUACCUACGACAGGAUUUUCACGACAAAUUGGAGAAUUGGAGUUGGAUCCAUUUCAGCUGACACCCGGACACUUCUCCACAUUUGCGGAGUGAGUCCUAUUUGGGAGGUAUUCACAGUCAUCAUCUUUGAUCACUAAUUACGUACAACAUCCUUACAACUAGCAGGUAUAAGUAACCUCAUUUUUCUGAAGAACAAAUGCAGACAAACGUCACUGCCUAAAGGUCUGGGAUCUUGCACAGUCUCAACAAGAGUCCCUGAUGGUAGGUGAGAUCUUGCGGCUUCACCAGCCUAACUUCUGAGAUGAGGGACGUGAGUGGAGCUUUUCACCUGCUCCAGAUCUGCUCUGAAUGGUCUUUGUUAAGUGUAUGAAUUGAUACUAGAGACUGUUGAGAGACACUUACAUUUGGGGAACUUUUUCUGAGGCUGAGAAACUGGAAGACUCCUUGGCUCUGAAGGAGAAUUUCAGAGCUGGUUGUCCACACUCACCACAGGCCAAGGCUCCAUGGGGGAAGGACAGUGUGGAUACUGGAGGCCCAACUCCCUUGCCUAGCACCGUCUCCUGCCCUUGUGUCUCCCCAGCAUCUGAGACCUUCCUCCAUUGCAACAGCACCCCCCAACUGGUAGCAUAAGCACCUGGAUUUAUUUCCACUGUCCCAGCAGACUAGGAGCAUCCUGAGAGUAAGGGCUGUGGCUCGCUCAUCUCUCUAUGCCCAGCACAGAGUUUAGUGACUCUUCCCUGAAAGAAGGAAUGAAAGAUGAGUUCAUUUGAAUCCUGAACUGCAGGCCACUGGGUGUAAAAGGAAAGCAAAGCUCUCGCCCACCCACCCACACCUGAAAAUGUGGAUCCUUCAAACAAGUUUAGCAAACAGGCUUUGUUCUCAGGUACAGAGACAGCGUGACAUUGUGUGAGUUGCUCUUCCUUUCCCUCUGUCUCUUUAGUGUCUGAGCAAAAUGUUCUGCUUUUCAUUGUCGCUCUUCAAACAGCAUGUUAUUGUCAUGCUUCUGCCUCCUUUUAAUAAAGAGGAAUGAGGAGGGUUUUCUUGUACACGCAAAAUUAACACAAAUCAAAACUGCUGCUGUUCUUUGAUCCGUCCUGGACUCUGAUUCGUGUCAGCCUUUUCAUUUUCCCACUGAGAGUGUACAGCUCAGGAAGGAUUACACGGGGAGGAAAACCGCUUACCACUUCCCAUUUGAUUAACACAAUUUAAUGCAGCAAUAAUGCCAGGGAAGUUCAUUACCAGGGAAAAGCUCUGAUGCAGGCUGCCCACAGUGUCUGGGGACGGGGUCUUUUUAUUUAAAAUGCAAUCAAGCCCCUAUGGUGAGUGGAUCCGUGAAAUCCUUCCUAAGCUGGGGAAGGUGGAAUUGCCAUUUAAUGUAGACAGACAAAAAUCCCUCCUGUUUGUACAGCUUUUGACAAUUUAUUCACGCUGUCUACGAAUAUUUAGUGUGGCUUCUUAUGCUCAAAACCUUGGGAUGAAGAAAACUGAAAGGGACUGUACCCUCAUUGUGCUUACAGCCUAGAAGGGGAAGUGGACAUUUUUCAAAGACGAGCACAUUGCUGACAGGUCAGGAUGUCAUGAAGGGGUCGCGCUGGGAGUGUGGGAGCAGGUGGUGCAGCACCUGUCUGGGAAAUCAGGGAAAACCACCCUGAGGAGGUGACAUACAGGCCAAGCUCAGAAGCAUGAGUAAGAGUUGAUGUGGAACAAACACAAAGGGGAGAGGUAGAGCUCUUGAAGUUAAGAAACUCCUGUGUGAGUUGCGAGGCAGCAGGAGCCUGGCCCGCUAGCAACACUGUCAAGUUGUCCAUGUGCCUGGGGCAGAUGGGGCAGGGGACAGAUGGGGAUGGCACCGGAGAAGAGUUUUGACGUACCCAAGGCCCCAGGCUGCCUCCUUCUUGCUCUGUGGCAGCCUGGUGUGAACAACGUAGAGUCUCCCUCAUGGCCAAGGAAAGAUCAGGAAUGUGUGCUCUCUCAGCCUGGGCAAGAUGGCGAAACCCCAUCUCUAUAAAAAAUAAAAAAAAUUAGCCGGGUGUGGUUGGCGCACGCCUGUGUUCCCAGCUACUCAGGAGGCUGAGGUGAGAGGAUUGCUUGGGCCUGGAAGUUGGAGGCUGCAGUGAGCUGUGUUCAAACCACUGCACUCUUGCCUGGGUGACAGAGUGAGAUCCUGUUUCAAAAAAAAAACAAAGAAAGAAAGAAGGUGAGAGACAGAGAGAGGGAGAGAAAGAAAGGAAGGAAGGAAGG